GUGGGGAAUAUUGGACAAUGGGCGAAAGCCUGAUCCAGCCAUGCCACGUGUGUGAAGAAGGUCUUCGGAUUGUAAAGCACUUUAAGUUGGGAGGAAGGGCAGUAAGUUAAUACCUUGCUGUUUUGACGUUACCGACAGAAUAAGCACCGGCUAACUUCGUGCCAGCAGCCGCGGUAAUACGAAGGGUGCAAGCGUUAAUCGGAAUUACUGGGCGUAAAGCGCGCGUAGGUGGUUUUGUAAGUUGGAGGUGAAAUCCCCGGGCUCAACCUGGGAACUGCCUCCAAAACUGCAUGACUAGAGUACGGUAGAGGGUAGUGGAAUUUCCUGUGUAGCGGUGAAAUGCGUAGAUAUAGGAAGGAACACCAGUGGCGAAGGCGACUACCUGGACUGAUACUGACACUGAGGUGCGAAAGCGUGGGGAGCAAACAGGAUUAGAAACCCGAGUAGUCC
rnacentral:rRNA from 1 species